ACAUUUACAUUGACACUAUUUACAAAUGAAUUAUGCUAUGAAUGACUCGACCUUUAGUAGUGGAGUGACUCAGAAUGAAGUGCUAUGAGAUACCUUUACCUAUCUGCGGUGGAUAACAAAUGUCAAUGAAUGAAUGCUAGGCCGAUCACUAUUUUCAAAGGGAAUAUAAGGGGGUGAGUCUCACAGACUUAGUGAUCAUCAGCUCCUUGAGCAAGGCACAGAUGGGAAACACACUUAAAGCGGAUAAUUUGGAAGAUAAAAUUAGAAUAUAAAAUGGCAAGCUCAUAAAACNAGAAUAUAAAUAGGCAAGACUCAUAAACAUAUACCUAAUACCGUAUUGUGCCUUGAAAAAAAAAUAGUACUGUAAAAUCAUAAUGCAAUACUUCCCUUGGUAAGCAAUGCCGAAAACAAACGUAGCAUAUUAAAUUUCAAUCAUCAAAAUCAUCUUUUUCCAUCAAAAAUACAAAUAAUUGUAUAAAAGUACGCACGCUCCCAAAAUGUGUGGCAUGUAAAAAUCAGUGUGCACAUCCGCAUAAAUCAAGUCAUGAUCAAAUAUAAGCAUUGAAAGCUUUCAUUCAAAUAAGGGAGCUGUGGAAAAACAUUAACUCUCCACCAUGCAAAAGAGUACGAGUCUAAAAACUCUCAAGACUCUCGAGUAGGUAAUUAUAGAUAAUCAAUCCGUGGACUCUUUUCCAUGUAAUAAUAAUCCGGGAGGCCCUUCUCCACCGGAUUCCCACAGCCAUGGCCAUCUCAACAAUGUUAGUCGACAUCAGAGAAAUCAAGUGGCCACAACCACGUAUAUCAACUUGUGGCCUAGCCAUAUGUAUCAACCCGUGGCCUAGCCACAUCUAACAGCUCGUUGGUGACACAAAGGUUCUUUAGCAAGAGCUCACUUAUGCAUAGGGUUACACUAUUUUGAUGUGACAUUCGACCUACUAUCGAUGCUCUCUAUUUGUCAAAACUGUUUUUAAAACCAAAUCGAGGUAUCCAGAACUUUUGCUUUAAUCAUUUGAAAACAAGGUUCGAUAAGCUUUGAAAUUGCUUUUCACAUUAAAAUGCACAGUGUAAACAUUUGCGUAAAGUUUGUACUAAAAUUGGCUUUCAAAAAUUUGUAUUUAAACCACUUAACAAAUGCAUUUAUGUCACGACCCGGUAUUUCCCUCAAGCCCGUGACAACCGCCGUGACGUCCCGAUAGACAUUCAUUGCCCGGAAUGCCAACCGGAACCUUGCAAGGCUUUAAUAUCAAUUUUCACACCUCCCCUAUGAGCAACAGUUGUUAAGUAUCAUGUUUUGAGAGACUAUAAACUAUUUCCAAAUCAAAACAAUAGAAAAAUAAUUUUUUUCUCAUAGGGCAUUUUGGUCAUUUUUCUUAAAAAAUCUCAAAACCAGCUAAAAAUGUAGUAUGUUAGUGGAAAACACAUAUUUCAUAAUCAAAAAUAAGUUUAGAUAUCUAAAACAUUCAUUAAAAGUGAAAUGAUAGCGAUUAGAAUAAAAUAAAAUAUUGAAUAAAAUAUUCUAUUUUCUUAUAAAACAAUUUUUAUAGAGAUAUCCGUUAGUAAUUUUUGUAGCAUAAAAGCAAAAUAAAUUCGUACAUACAGUAACACAGAUAGUCAAGGUAUGUAAUUAAAUUUACAAUGACAUGUGGGCCCCCAAAUGACAAAAGUGAACGAAGGUUGUGAACCUACAGUUUUUGAAGAAGUAAUGCCAACUGUAGCCUUCGACGAUAUCAACUAUCUACAAACUAUCUUGAGCUUGAAAUGGGUGGAAAGGAGGGUGGUGAGAUUAUAUAAUCCCAGUGAGUAAACAAAUACCAUCUAAAAUAUCUAAAACUGAGUAAAUGGAGACAGAUAAAAUAGAUUAGCAUAAAAAUGAUCCAAAGCAUUUCGAACUCAUUUGAAUAAGAUAAAAUAGAUUCAUUUCACCAAAAUAAACAACGAGGCUUAUGAUUUCCUAAAAAAUUUGGCUCGUGCCAAAAUCAUUCUCAUACUCAGUUAUCAGGGAUACCUUGGCCUAGGGCUAUCCCAAUUGAGUCUGCUAAGGCUGUUAAAAAAACCAUGUACGCAUAAAUCAUGUUUUUAUUUUGAAAACAUAGCCGUUCCUUGGCAUUGGCUGAGUUCACCCUCACGUGGUGGUUUGGUGUGAAGUGAACUUUAAAGUUGUACCUCGGGAGUUACCCUACGCACCUCUCCAAUCGAGGUAAGAAUAUAACGGGGAUUCCAUGCCUCUCAAAAAGACUGGUCCAUAAAACCCGCCCACUGCAACAAGCUAAACCCACCGUACAAUAAAAUUUGCAAUAGCAUGACAUGGCAAUUAUUUUAUUUUACAGCCUCUCAAGGCAAAUCAACUGUUCAUACAUAUUCAGCACAUUUACCAAUUCAACCAUUCAUGCCAAUAUUAUCAUAAGCCAUUCAAUUCAAACCAUGAUUUAUAACACAGCAAUUAGUCUCCAAUUACUCCAUUUUCAAAACCAUCUUUCAAUUUCAACACAAUUUUAUAAAAUCAUUUCAUUUAAUCACAUUUUGCUUAUAAAACAUAAAGAUUUACCAUUUAAACUCAUUUUUUAUCAAAUUACAAAAAUGAAUAAAAACUACUUUAGAUAAUUAAGAGGAUAAUAAGGUUACUCACUAUUUCGGGAGUCGAAUUUCAAGUACUUCGAUAUCUGAUCCUCGGGUACUAUCUCUUUACUUUUGCCAGAAAGCUCACCACCUUGACAUAAUGCACAAUAACCCAUUUACUACAUUUGUGCUAAACCGUUGUAAAUCCAAUUCAGGCUUUAUACUAAUGCAUGAAAUGGAAUGCAAAUUGUUCAGAUUAUCGUCUAAAACACAGUGUUUUGCACAAAUUCAAUUAUGUACCUAAAUAAAACGGUAUUGGCCUAAUUCGAUCUAUCACUCGAUUAAUUGGCCCAUAUGUCCAAUUUAACUCCAAAUAAUUCCAUUUUUCUCCCAAUACUCCAAAUCAUCAAACAGAAAUUAAAUAAGUUGAAAUAUGGCAAAAUCAUCCUCACAUUUUCUCUUGGAAAAUUCUGCCAUGGAGGGUUCACUAACAAUAUAAUUUUUCAAGCUUGAUUCGCACACCAUAAAUCACUAAUUCCUAACCAAAUCACUUGAAAUAAAAUCAAAAUCAUCAUCAAUAUUCCACAUGAAGAAUUCGACCAAAGAGGGUUAUGGAAGAACAUGAAAUUUUCUUACUUGAUUUUCAUGCUACACAUCACUAACUAACUAAAAACACUAAAAUACAUUGAAAUCUAACCAAAUCAAGCAUCAAAAUCUCUCUCUAAGUGUUCGGCCAGCAAGUGACCCAUCAUGAUUUCAUGUGAUUCAACCAUGAAAAAUAAGAAAAAAUGCUUAAGAAAGAGAGAUCUCAAGCUUAAUUGAAAAAUCUUACCUUUCUUUCACUUGUUUCCUUGAAUUUUCACACUUUUUCCUUGAAUUUUUCCACCUAGGGUUUUGUUCUUCCUUUUCUUGCUUCUCCUUGGUGAGG
rnacentral:lncRNA from 1 species